rnacentral:rRNA from 1 species
CCUACGGGAGGCAGCAGUGGGGAAUUUUGGACAAUGGACGCAAGUCUGAUCCAGCCAUGCCGCGUGUGGGAAGAAGGCCUUCGGGUUGUAAACCACUUUUGUCAGGGAAGAAACGGCUCGGGUUAAUACCUUGGGCUAAUGACGGUACCUGAAGAAUAAGCACCGGCUAACUACGUGCCAGCAGCCGCGGUAAUACGUAGGGUGCAAGCGUUAAUCGGAAUUACUGGGCGUAAAGCGUGCGCAGGCGGUUAUGCAAGACAGAUGUGAAAUCCCCGGGCUCAACCUGGGAACUGCAUUUGUGACUGCAUGGCUAGAGUACGGUAGAGGGGGAUGGAAUUCCGCGUGUAGCAGUGAAAUGCGUAGAUAUGCGGAGGAACACCGAUGGCGAAGGCAAUCCCCUGGACCUGUACUGACGCUCAUGCACGAAAGCGUGGGGAGCAAACAGGAUUAGAUACCCUGGUAGUCCACGCCCUAAACGAUGUCAACUGGUUGUUGGGAGGGUUUCUUCUCAGUAACGUAGCUAACGCGUGAAGUUGACGCCUGGGGAGUACGGCGCAAGGUUGAAACUCGAAAUGAAUUGACGG